rnacentral:tRNA from 1 species
GCCGCGGUGGCGGAACUGGCAGACGCGCAUGGCUUAGGACCAUGUCUCGUAAGGGGUGGGAGUUCGACUCUCCCCCGCGGCA